rnacentral:rRNA from 1 species
UACGAAGGGGGCUAGCGUUGUUCGGAAUUACUGGGCGUAAAGCGCACGUAGGCGGACUAUUAAGUCAGGGGUGAAAUCCCGAGGCUCAACCCCGGAACUGCCUUUGAUACUGGUAGUCUCGAGUCCGGAAGAGGUGAGUGGAAUUCCGAGUGUAGAGGUGAAAUUCGUAGAUAUUCGGAGGAACACCAGUGGCGAAGGCGGCUCACUGGUCCGGUACUGACGCUGAGGUGCGAAAGCGUGGGGAGCAAACAGG